rnacentral:rRNA from 1 species
CAAUUUAAACAACGAAGAGUUUGAUCCUGGCUCAGGAUGAACGCUAGCGACAGGCUUAACACAUGCAAGUCGAGGGGCAGCACAGGUAGCAAUACCGGGUGGCGACCGGCGCACGGGUGAGUAACGCGUAUGCAACUUGCCUAUCAGAGGGGGAUAACCCGGCGAAAGUCGGACUAAUACCGCAUGAAGCAGGGAUCCCGCAUGGGAAUAUUUGCUAAAGAUUCAUCGCUGAUAGAUAGGCAUGCGUUCCAUUAGGCAGUUGGCGGGGUAACGGCCCACCAAACCGACGAUGGAUAGGGGUUCUGAGAGGAAGGUCCCCCACAUUGGUACUGAGACACGGACCAAACUCCUACGGGAGGCAGCAGUGAGGAAUAUUGGUCAAUGGCCGAGAGGCUGAACCAGCCAAGUCGCGUGAGGGAUGAAGGUUCUAUGGAUCGUAAACCUCUUUUAUAAGGGAAUAAAGUGCGGGACGUGUCCCGUUUUGUAUGUACCUUAUGAAUAAGGAUCGGCUAACUCCGUGCCAGCAGCCGCGGUAAUACGGAGGAUCCGAGCGUUAUCCGGAUUUAUUGGGUUUAAAGGGUGCGUAGGCGGCCUUUUAAGUCAGCGGUGAAAGUCUGUGGCUCAACCAUAGAAUUGCCGUUGAAACUGGGGGGCUUGAGUAUGUUUGAGGCAGGCGGAAUGCGUGGUGUAGCGGUGAAAUGCUUAGAUAUCACGCAGAACCCCGAUUGCGAAGGCAGCCUGCCAAGCCAUGACUGACGCUGAUGCACGAAAGCGUGGGGAUCAAACAGGAUUAGAUACCCUGGUAGUCCACGCAGUAAACGAUGAUCACUAGCUGUUUGCGAUACACUGUAAGCGGCACAGCGAAAGCGUUAAGUGAUCCACCUGGGGAGUACGCCGGCAACGGUGAAACUCAAAGGAAUUGACGGGGGCCCGCACAAGCGGAGGAACAUGUGGUUUAAUUCGAUGAUACGCGAGGAACCUUACCCGGGUUUGAACGCAUUCGGACCGAGGUGGAAACACCUUUUCUAGCAAUAGCCGUUUGCGAGGUGCUGCAUGGUUGUCGUCAGCUCGUGCCGUGAGGUGUCGGCUUAAGUGCCAUAACGAGCGCAACCCUUGCCACUAGUUACUAACAGGUGAUGCUGAGGACUCUGGUGGGACUGCCAGCGUAAGCUGCGAGGAAGGCGGGGAUGACGUCAAAUCAGCACGGCCCUUACAUCCGGGGCGACACACGUGUUACAAUGGCGUGGACAAAGGGAGGCCACCUGGCGACAGGGAGCGAAUCCCCAAACCACGUCUCAGUUCGGAUCGGAGUCUGCAACCCGACUCCGUGAAGCUGGAUUCGCUAGUAAUCGCGCAUCAGCCAUGGCGCGGUGAAUACGUUCCCGGGCCUUGUACACACCGCCCGUCAAGCCAUGGGAGCCGGGGGUACCUGAAGUCCGUAACCGCGAGGAUCGGCCUAGGGUAAAACUGGUGACUGGGGCUAAGUCGUAACAAGGUAGCCGUACCGGAAGGUGCGGCUGGAACACCUCCUUUCUGGAGC